ensembl:lncRNA
GCUCUGCAAGCACCGUGAGGAGUUUACCACAUUCCCCUCCCCAUGAGGAUGUGGUUUCCUCUCCGCAGUCAGCUUCAUCCUUACCAAGCUUCCAGUGACUUAGUUUAUGAAAGAACACAGCCAGGUGGCGCUAGUGGUAAAGAACUUGCCUGUCAAAGCAAGAGAAGUAAGAGACGCAGGUUCAAUUCCUGGAUCAGGAAGAUCCCCUGGAGAGGACAAUGGCAACCAACUCCAGUAUUCUUGCCUGGAGAAUCCCAUGGACAUAAGAGCAUGGCAGGCUACAGUCCAUGGGGUCACAAAGAGUUGAAC